GUAAAAGUUUCAUUUGAUCUGAAUAGUAUUAAAAUACCUGGAUGAGGAAAAUGAAGAG
rfam:Gorilla gorilla gorilla genomic chromosome, chr5, whole genome shotgun sequence